GGCUGUGGUAUUGUGUGGCUUACAUUCC
rnacentral:piRNA from 1 species